UUCCGAGAGCACGGGGUGAAGUUGCGCAAGGAAAAGUGCAGAUUCAGGCAGGAAUCGGUCACCUACCUUGGCCAUCAGAUUGACGGAGAGGGACUGCACCCAACAGAAAAGAACCUUGAGGCCAUCGCUGGGGCUCCGUGUCCGAAAAACAGAGUUUACCUUGGUCACCGACCACCAGCCACUCCUGGGAUUGCUAAAGCCGGGCCGGCCGACCCCUGCCAUGACUGCUGCAAGGAUCCAGCGUUGGGCACUGCUGCUUGGGGGCUACCAGUACAAGCUGGACUACCAGCCUGAAGAACGCCACAAGCCUCCGGAAGAUCCCCGU